ensembl:lncRNA
GCUUUCUCCACCCCACACAUAGAGAGAGUGGUUAUUUUCCUACUUCCAGAAGCGUCAACAAGGCAGUUAAUCACCAUAUCAAUGGUGAUAGCGUAACUUUGUUGGUGAGGGUAGCAUUUCUAGAGAUUUCUGAAAAUCAGUCAUAAUUUCCAAGUGCUGCGUUUCAUUACACUUUUCCUCACCCUGCUACAUCCAGGGCUUUGUUUCCAGGGUGGGCUGGAAUGCUUUAAAACAAGCACUCGUCUGUACUAUUAUUCCUUCCUUCCUCUUUGGAGCUGUGAAAGGCCACCAGGGCCUGUCUCCAGGACUCUCCCUAUAAAGGAUGUUACCUCCUCCAUAGAAGCAGCUAUGUGACCAAGCAAAUGAGCCAGAAGGUGACUUCCAGUAACAUAGAUCAAAGGGACGCAACGAGUUUCACUAGGACAUCAAAUAGUGUGCUUAUGGCAACUCGAGGUAAAACUCUGCCUGCUGUAACUGGAAUCCUUCCCCCUUGUUUGUGUGGUGCGAAUACAAAACACGAGGAACUCACAAGAAUUGCAUCAAGGUUCUUGCAAAAGUUUUGCUUAAUACAUUUCAGUUGCCUGGUUAUGCAGUUUAACAUUAGUCUGCUUGUAUACUUGCUCUGGAAAAAAAAAAGUCUGUUUUAG